AGGGCAAGCAGUGGGGAAUCUUGCACAAUGGAGGAAACUCUGAUCCAGCCAUGCCGCGUGAGUGAWGAAGGCCUCAUGGGUUGUAAAGCUCUUUCGUCGGGGARGAAAAUGACUGUACCCGAAUAAGAAGGCCCGGCUAACUCCGUGCCAGCCAGCCG
rnacentral:rRNA from 1 species